UUUUGCUCUGCUUUUUCGGCCCCUGUCUCCCAUUUUUGCAUCUCUCUCUGCUCGAGCUGGUUAGCCAGUCUAUGGAAAUUUCGUCUUUCUGUCGUCGUUUUCACCGCUUGCUAUCAAAGGUUUUGUCUGCUGCUUUCUGAUUUGUCAAUCGUUAUUACUGGGUUUUUAAUUCUGUUUUAGCCGCUGCAUCUGUCCUUUUCUUGGAGACGUGGAUGUCCGUUUUUUGGGAAGCCUUCUCUGCGUAUGUGAAGCUAAGGAACAGGUGGUCACAUCGGAGGAUUAUUCGGUAUUUGCUGUGGCGUUUUUCGUCUUUGUGAAGAUCCCUCUUCACAUUUUUUGCCAGAGAAUCAAUGUCGCCGGCCUCUGUGCCCACCAGCCAUCACCACUUUAGUAUUACACAUGAAACUUAGGACAUGCAAAGUAUGUAUGUCCCUCAGAUCUCAUAUUCUUUCAUUUACUUCAAAUUUUUAUUAGAUUUUACAGAAGCAUUUAUUUCUAUGUUUGUCUUGGUUUAUUUUGUUCUUGGUGUCUAUCAAUUGGUGACAAAUUUGGCAUGUGAUAUCUCUCCGAAGACUUAUGCGAAGGUUAACUGUAACCUCAUAGCUUCAAAGAUUAGGAUUGAGGGAAUUUGAGAGGGAUGGAUCACAUUUUGACAUAUGAAGUUUGUGUAAUUGAUGCUUAUGUGUGGAAUAAGGUGGUGAAAGCUGCCUCUAAGCAUUUCAAGAAAAAAGAAGAUCAGAUGGAUCAUACAACUUGGUGGAGAUCAGAUAUCUGAUGUGUUUGAUCAGCAUCUCCAUGUUGCUUUGAGUAAGCGCCUCCUGUUUAUAUGGAAACACUAAUUGAGUAAUGUGAAAUAUGUGUAACUGUUGAGUCAUGUUUCUUUAAAAUAUUAUUUAUAAGUAUACAGUUUCAGAGAUACGCACAUUUAUAUGUAUAGAUUAAUAAUCGUACGGUAGUCCAAACC